rnacentral:rRNA from 1 species
GAUGAACGCUGGCGGCGUGCUUAACACAUGCAAGUCGAACGGAAAGGCUCCUGCUUGCAGGGGUACUCGAGUGGCGAACGGGUGAGUAACACGUGGGUGAUCUGCCCUGCACUUCGGGAUAAGCCUGGGAAACUGGGUCUAAUACCGGAUAGGACGAUGGAUUGGAUGCCAUUGUGGAAAGUUUUUCGGUGUGGGAUGAGCUCGCGGCCUAUCAGCUUGUUGGUGGGGUAAUGGCCUACCAAGGCGUCGACGGGUAGCCGGCCUGAGAGGGUGUACGGCCACAUUGGGACUGAGAUACGGCCCAGACUCCUACGGGAGGCAGCAGUGGGGAAUAUUGCACAAUGGGCGCAAGCCUGAUGCAGCGACGCCGCGUGGGGGAUGACGGCCUUCGGGUUGUAAACUCCUUUCGCUAGGGACGAAGCGCAAGUGACGGUACCUGGAGAAGAAGCACCGGCUAACUACGUG